CCUACGGGUGGCAGCAGUGGGGAAUAUUGGGCAAUGGGCGCAAGCCUGACCCAGCAAUGCCGCGUGAAGGAAGAAGGCUCUCGGGUUGUAAACCUCUUUUAUCAGGGACGAGGCAAGUGACGGUACCUGAUAAAGAAGCCACAGCUAACUAAGUAACCACAGCCGCGGUAAUACGUAGGGGGCACGCGUGAACCGGAUUUACUGGGUGUAGAGAUCGUGAAGUCGGGUAUGCACGUUAGAUGUGAAAACCAUGGGCUCAAGCUGUGACCGGCAUUGGAGACUGGGUGUAUUGAGUACGGUAGAGGCAGACGGAAUUCCUAGUGUAGCGGUGAAAUGCGUAGAUAUUAGGAGGAACACCAGUGGCGAAGGCGGUCUGCUGGACAGCAACUGACGCUGAUGCGCGAAAGCGUGGGGAGCAAACAGGAUUAGAUACCCGUGUAGUC
rnacentral:rRNA from 1 species